AGGAUGAACGCUGGCGGCGUGCCUAACACAUGCAAGUCGAGCGAUUCUCUUCGGAGAAGAGCGGCGGACGGGUGAGUAACGCGUGGGUAACCUGCCCUGUACACACGGAUAACAUACCGAAAGGUAUGCUAAUACGAGAUAAUAUGCUUUUAUCGCAUGGUAGAAGUAUCAAAGCUCCGGCGGUACAGGAUGGACCCGCGUCUGAUUAGCUAGUUGGUAAGGUAACGGCUUACCAAGGCGACGAUCAGUAGCCGACCUGAGAGGGUGAUCGGCCACAUUGGAACUGAGACACGGUCCAAACUCCUACGGGAGGCAGCAGUGGGGAAUAUUGCACAAUGGGCGAAAGCCUGAUGCAGCAACGCCGCGUGAGCGAUGAAGGCCUUCGGGUCGUAAAGCUCUGUCCUCAAGGAAGAUAAUGACGGUACUUGAGGAGGAAGCCCCGGCUAACUACGUGCCAGCAGCCGCGGUAAUACGUAGGGGGCUAGCGUUAUCCGGAAUUACUGGGCGUAAAGGGUGCGUAGGUGGUUUCUUAAGUCAGAGGUGAAAGGCUACGGCUCAACCGUAGUAAGCCUUUGAAACUGGGAAACUUGAGUGCAGGAGAGGAGAGUGGAAUUCCUAGUGUAGCGGUGAAAUGCGUAGAUAUUAGGAGGAACACCAGUUGCGAAGGCGGCUCUCUGGACUGUAACUGACACUGAGGCACGAAAGCGUGGGGAGCAAACAGGAUUAGAUACCCUGGUAGUCCACGCCGUAAACGAUGAGUACUAGCUGUCGGAGGUUACCCCCUUCGGUGGCGCAGCUAACGCAUUAAGUACUCCGCCUGGGAAGUACGCUCGCAAGAGUGAA
rnacentral:rRNA from 1 species